rnacentral:rRNA from 1 species
AUUAGAUACCCUGGGUAGUCCACGCCCUAAACGAUGUUAACUAGUUGUUGGGAAGUAAUAUUCUCAGUAACGCAGCCAACGCGAGAAGUUAACCGCCUGGGAAGUACGGUCGCAAGACUAAAACUCAAAGGAAUUAACGGGGACCCGCACAAGCGGUGGAUGAUGUGGAUUAAUUCGAUGAUACGCGAGGAACCUUACCCGGGCUCAAACGACACAGGAAUACUUUUGAAAGGAGGUAGCCAGCAAUGGUCUGUGUCGAGGUGCUGCAUGGUUGUCGUCAGCUCGUGCCGUGAGGUGUCGGCUUAAGUGCCAUAACGAGCGCAACCCCUACCGCCAGUUGCCAGCAGGUAAAGCUGGGGACUCUGGCGGGACUGCCGGCGCAAGCUGCGAGGAAGGCGGGGAUGACGUCAAAUCAGCACGGCCCUUACGUCCGGGGCGACACACGUGUUACAAUGGCAGGUACAGCGGGAAGCCACCUGGCGACAGGGCGCGGAACCCGAAAACCUGUCUCAGUUCGGAUUGGAGUCUGCAACCCGACUCCAUGAAGCUGGAUUCGCUAGUAAUCGCGCAUCAGCCACGGCGCGGUGAAUACGUUCCCGGGCCUUGUACACACCGCCCGUCAAGCCAUGGAAGCCGGGAGUGCCUGAAGUGCGUGACCGCAAGGAGCGUCCUAAGGCAAUACCGGUGACUGGGGCUAAGUCGUAACAAGGUAAC